rnacentral:tRNA from 2 species
GGUUCCAUAGCUCAGCUGGGAGAGCGCUACCUCGACAAGGUAGAAGUCGGCGGUUCGAGCCCGUCUGGGACCA